rnacentral:misc_RNA from 1 species
ACACCUCAACUCUCAUGGUCUGUCAUGAUGAGCUUGGACUUUGGGGGUCUUGCUGGCGUAACCGUCGGCUCCUCUCAAACAAAUCAGCUUGCCAGUGUUUGGUGGCAUCACAGGUGUGAUAACUAUCUACGCUUGUGGCCUUCCACCAGGUGUUACCUUCAGCAAUGGAGGUUCGCUGGAGCUCACAGAUGUCUCUCCUCGGGGAGGACAGCUUUUGAAC